AACGAACGCUGGCGGCAUGCCUAACACAUGCAAGUCGAACGAGACCAUUGACUUCGGUUGAUGGUCUAGUGGCGCACGGGUGCGUAACACGUGGGAAUCUGCCCUUAGGUACGGAAUAACUCAGGGAAACUUGAGCUAAUACCGUAUGAUGACUUCGGUCCAAAGAUUUAUCGCCUAAGGAUGAGCCCGCGUCGGAUUAGCUAGUUGGUGAGGUAAAGGCUCACCAAGGCGACGAUCCGUAGCUGGUCUGAGAGGAUGAUCAGCCACACUGGGACUGAGACACGGCCCAGACUCCUACGGGAGGCAGCAGUGGGGAAUAUUGGACAAUGGGCGAAAGCCUGAUCCAGCAAUGCCGCGUGAGUGAAGAAGGCCUUAGGGUUGUAAAGCUCUUUUACCCGGGAAGAUAAUGACUGUACCGGGAGAAUAAGCUCCGGCUAACUCCGUG
rnacentral:rRNA from 1 species